rnacentral:rRNA from 1 species
UACACACGUANUACAAUGGUCGCCAACAGAGGGAAGCCAAACCGCGAGGUGGAGCAAANCCCCAAAAGCGAUCUCAGUUCGGAUUGUAGGCUGCAACCCGCCUACAUGAAGUUGGAAUUGCUAGUAAUCGCGGAUCAGCAUGCCGCGGUGAAUACGUUCCCGGGCCUUGCACACACCGCCCGUCACACCAUGGGAGCCGGUAAUACCCGAAGCCAAUAGUCUAACCGCAANGAGGACGNNGUCGAAGGUAGGAUUGGCGACUGGGGUGAAGUCGUAACAAGGUAGCCGUGUCGGAAGGUGCGGCUGGAUCACCUCCUU